UCUUAUAGCCAUGCUACCCUGAACAAGCCCGAUGUCUGAUCUAAGAAGCUAAGCAGGGUUGGGCCUGGUGAGUACUUGGAUGGGAGACCACCUAGGAAGACCAAGUGCUGUAGGCA
rnacentral:rRNA from 1 species